rnacentral:rRNA from 1 species
AUGAUUUGCAUCAGUUGGAACUGCCGGGGGCUUGGGAACCCCGAGGCAGUUCGAGAGCUUCACCGUUUGGUGAAGCAAGAAGGUCCUGCCCUGCUGUUCGUCAUGGAAACCAAAAUUAGGGCUAAAAGAGUAGAAGAUCUACGAUUCCAACUUGGAUUUGCGGGCUGUUUUGUGGUGGAUAGUGUUGGACUAAGCGGAGGCAUUGGCCUCUUCUGGUCUAAUGAUGUCAGUGUUAACCUGAAGAAUUAUAGCAAGAACCACAUUGAUGUACUGGUUAGAGAUAAGGAUCAAAGCUCCUCGGAGUGGAGAUUCACAGGAUUCUACGGUGCACCAAGAGUCGAAGAUAAACACCAUAGUUGGCGUUUUCUUCGACAUUGCAUGCCAUACCCCAUUCUUCAUGGAUAUGUAUGGGCGACUUCAACGAGACCCUGUUUGGCGAUGAACACUUCAGUCAGACGGCUAGGCCGGAAUGGCAGAUGA